UGCUGUGAACUCGAAGAGUAGGGCGGGACACGUGGUAUCCUGUCUGAAUAUGGGGGGACCAUCCUCCAAGGCUAAAUACUCCUGACUGACCGAUAGUGAACCAGUACCGUGAGGGAAAGGCGAAAAGAACCCCGGCGAGGGGAGUGAAAAAGAACCUGAAACCGUGUACGUACAAGCAGUGGGAGCCUCUUUAUGGGGUGACUGCGUACCUUUUGUAUAAUGGGUCAGCGACUUAUAUUCUGUAGCAAGGUUAACCGUAUAGGGGAGCCGAAGGGAAACCGAGUCUUAACUGGGCGUUAAGUUGCAGGGUAUAGACCCGAAACCCGGUGAUCUAGCCAUGGGCAGGUUGAAGGUUGGGUAACACUAACUGGAGGACCGAACCGACUAAUGUUGAAAAAUUAGCGGAUGACCUGUGGCUGGGGGUGAAAGGCCAAUCAAACCGGGAGAUAGCUGGUUCUCCCCGAAAGCUAUUUAGGUAGCGCCUCGUGAACUCAUCUUCGGGGGUAGAGCACUGUUUCGGCUAGGGGGCCAUCCCGGCUUACCAACCCGAUGCAAACUACGAAUACCGAAGAAUGUUAUCACGGGAGACACACGGCGGGUGCUAACGUCCGUCGUGAAGAGGGAAACAACCCAGACCGCCAGCUAAGGUCCCAAAGUCAUGGUUAAGUGGGAAACGAUGUGGGAAGGCACAGACAGCCAGGAUGUUGGCUUAGAAGCAGCCAUCAUUUAAAGAAAGCGUAAUAGCUCACUGGUCGAGUCGGCCUGCGCGGAAGAUGUAACGGGGCUAAACCAUGCACCGAAGCUGCGGCAGCGACACUAUGUGUUGUUGGGUAGGGGAGCGUUCUGUAAGCCGUUGAAGGUGUGCUGUGAGGCAUGCUGGAGGUAUCAGAAGUGCGAAUGCUGACAUAAGUAACGAUAAAGCGGGUGAAAAGCCCGCUCGCCGGAAGACCAAGGGUUCCUGUCCAACGUUAAUCGGGGCAGGGUGAGUCGACCCCUAAGGCGAGGCCGAAAGGCGUAGUCGAUGGGAAACAGGUUAAUAUUCCUGUACUUGGUGUUACUGCGAAGGGGGGACGGAGAAGGCUAUGUCAGCCGGGCGACGGUUGUCCCGGUUUAAGCAUGUAGGCGGAGGUUCCAGGUAAAUCCGGUACCUUUUAACGCUGAGGUGUGAUGACGAGGCACUACGGUGCUGAAGUGAUAAAUGCCCUGCUUCCAGGAAAAGCCUCUAAGCAUCAGGUAACACGAAAUCGUACCCCAAACCGACACAGGUGGUCAGGUAGAGAAUACCAAGGCGCUUGAGAGAACUCGGGUGAAGGAACUAGGCAAAAUGGUGCCGUAACUUCGGGAGAAGGCACGCUGAUAUGUAGGUGAAGCCCCUGCGGGCGGAGCUGAAAUCAGUCGAAGAUACCAGCUGGCUGCAACUGUUUAUUAAAAACACAGCACUGUGCAAACACGAAAGUGGACGUAUACGGUGUGACGCCUGCCCGGUGCCGGAAGGUUAAUUGAUGGGGUUAGCGGCAACGCGAAGCUCUUGAUCGAAGCCCCGGUAAACGGCGGCCGUAACUAUAACGGUCCUAAGGUAGCGAAAUUCCUUGUCGGGUAAGUUCCGACCUGCACGAAUGGCGUAAUGAUGGCCAGGCUGUCUCCACCCGAGACUCAGUGAAAUUGAACUCGCUGUGAAGAUGCAGUGUACCCGCGGCAAGACGGAAAGACCCCGUGAACCUUUACUAUAGCUUGACACUGAACACUGGUCCUUGAUGUGUAGGAUAGGUGGGAGGCUUUGAAGCGUGGACGCCAGUCUGCGUGGAGCCAUCCUUGAAAUACCACCCUUUAAUGGCUGGUGUUCUAACGUAGACCCGUGAUCCGGGUUGCGGACAGUGUCUGGUGGGUAGUUUGACUGGGGCGGUCUCCUCCCAAAGAGUAACGGAGGAGCACGAAGGUUGGCUAAUCCUGGUCGGACAUCAGGAGGUUAGUGCAAUGGCAUAAGCCAGCUUGACUGCGAGCGUGACGGCGCGAGCAGGUGCGAAAGCAGGUCAUAGUGAUCCGGUGGUUCUGAAUGGAAGGGCCAUCGCUCAACGGAUAAAAGGUACUCCGGGGAUAACAGGCUGAUACCGCCCAAGAGUUCAUAUCGACGGCGGUGUUUGGCACCUCGAUGUCGGCUCAUCACAUCCUGGGGCUGAAGUAGGUCCCAAGGGUAUGGCUGUUCGCCAUUUAAAGUGGUACGCGAGCUGGGUUUAGAACGUCGUGAGACAGUUCGGUCCCUAUCUGCCGUGGGCGCUGGAGAAUUGAGGGGGGCUGCUCCUAGUACGAGAGGACCGGAGUGGACGCAUCACUGGUGUUCGGGUUGUCAUGCCAAUGGCACUGCCCGGUAGCUAAAUGCGGAAGAGAUAAGUGCUGAAAGCAUCUAAGCACGAAACUUGCCCCGAGAUGAGUUCUCCCUGAGACUUUAAGUCUCCUGAAGGAACGUUGAAGACGACGACGUUGAUAGGUCGGGUGUGUAAGCGCAGCGAUGCGUUGAGCUAACCGAUACUAAUGAACCGUGAGGCUUAACCUUACAACGCCGAAGGUGUUU
rnacentral:rRNA from 1 species